CACGUAGGGGGCAAGCGUUUGUCCGGAUUUAUUGGGCGUAAAGAGCUCGUAGGUGGCUGAGUAAGUCGGAUGUUAAAUCCCCAGGCUCAACCUGGGACACCACCCGAUACUGCUCUGGCUAGAGUCCGGUAGGGGAGCGUGGAAUUCCUGGUGUAGCGGUGAAAUGCGCAGAUAUCAGGAGGAACACCAGCGGCGAAGGCGGCGCUCUGGGCCGGUACUGACGCUGAGGAACGAAAGCGUGGGGAGCGAACAGG
rnacentral:rRNA from 1 species